GCGGGUGUGGCGGAAUGGCAGACGCGCUAGAUUUAGGAUCUAGUGUCUUUGACGUGGGGGUUCAAGUCCCUUCACCCGCACCA
rnacentral:tRNA from 1 species